rnacentral:rRNA from 1 species
AGUGAACGCUGGCGGUAGGCCUAACACAUGCAAGUCGAACGGCAGCACAGUAAGAGCUUGCUCUUACGGGUGGCGAGUGGCGGACGGGUGAGGAAUACAUCGGAAUCUACUUUUUCGUGGGGGAUAACGUAGGGAAACUUACGCUAAUACAGCAUACGACCUACGGGUGAAAGCAGGGGAUCUUCGGACCUUGCGCGAUUGAAUGAGCCGAUGUCGGAUUAGCUAGUUGGCGGGGUAAAGGCCCACCAAGGCGACGAUCCGUAGCUGGUCUGAGAGGAUGAACAGCCACACUGGGACUGAGACACGGUCCAGACUCCUACGGGAGGCAGCAGUGGGGAAUUUUGGACAAUGGGCGAAAGCCUGAUCCAGCCAUGCCGCGUGGGUGAAGAAGGCCUUCGGGUUGUAAAGCCCUUUUGGUGGGAAAGAAAAGCAGCAGGUUAAUACCCCGCUGUUCUGACGGUACCCAAAGAAUAAGCACCGGCUAACUUCGUG